rnacentral:sRNA from 1 species
UAGUAGAUGCACCCUGAUGGCUUUCCCGCUCCAAUGGAGCGGGAAUUUUAUUU